UGCUUCAACAAAUAUUUAGGUUUACGUAAGCUUUCCAGUGGAUGUUUUACAACCUUAUCGUUAUUGACAGAUUAAACAGACUGUCUGGGAAUUACCAGAGCCUCGAGGUCGACAAUUUGAAACUAAUUUGACAGAUUGCAGAAAACUGCAAUAUGCCACAUUAACUUACUCAUACCUCAGUGUCCAAAAUCCGGGCCCAUUAAUCAGUCGCUUUAUGACCGAGCAGUGCUCACUGAAUAUACAUAAGUGCAAAUAGUGCGUUAUUAUUUAUUCAUUUAAUUUUGCAAAAAAACGCACCAAAGAGGAGGGUCAGAGGUCAGUCAACCCUUGAGGCACCAAAAAGCAUUUUUUAUUUCUCCCAGCCAUCCAAGCCACCCAAGUCACCCUCACGCCGAGCAGGCCCAAAUAUAUGAGCUGCUGUCCACGUUGCUUUGGGCUUCCAAUUUCGAGGCGUACAAUUAAUAGACACCAAACCAAUUGGAUGACGCCUAACGACGAUGCCAAGGGACACCCAAUUCUGGGCCAGCAUUCGCAUUUUGUGUUUUGUUGCCUUUUGGGGAAUUAACUAAAAAUAGUCCGACCGCAUGACGUCUGCAGGAGGCAAGUGGGAUGAUACUCGAACCACAAGGACGACAUCAUAUACCCCACAGGCAGCCGCAGGCUCGUUAAUUUCAUCCAGCUGUACAUGUAGCAUUUUAUUUGCAGUUCCUCAUACGCCCCGUUGUCGCCACCACAAAGUUCCACCGACCAUUCCGCACCAUCCAGCCAGCCCAAUAUGGAUCUUCACAUCGCCGAUUGGCGGCUUCCGCCUUCGUUCGCAAUACGGCUAAUUCCCCAUUUAAAUUGCAAGUAUGCGAGAUUUUC
ensembl:ncRNA lncRNA:CR44566 long non-coding RNA:CR44566